GAUCCUGGCUCAGGACGAACGCUGGCGGCGCGCCUAACACAUGCAAGUCGAACGAGAGAUGAAGAGCUUGCUCUUCAAAUCGAGUGGCGAACGGGUGAGUAACGCGUGAGGAACCUGCCUCAAAGAGGGGGACAACAGUUGGAAACGACUGCUAAUACCGCAUAAGCCCACAGCUCGGCAUCGAGCGAGAGGGGAAAAGGAGUGAUCCGCUUUGAGAUGGCCUCGCGUCCGAUUAG
rnacentral:rRNA from 1 species